CACCGCCCAUCACACUAUAUGAGCUGGCCAUGUUUGAAGUCAUUACCCUUAACCGUAAGGAGGGGGAUGCCUAAGGCUAGGCUUGCGACUGGAGUGAAGUCGUAACAAGGUAGCCGUACUGGAAGGUGCGGCUG
rnacentral:ncRNA from 2 species